AUUUCCUGGGUCACAAGGUCACAACCUCCUGGGUACGAAUCAAAACAAAGAUGGCCGCCCACCGGCAGUACACUGGAGUGAACAGCCGAGAAUCAGGAUUCAUUCUUCUUCUCCUGCCGUGGACAUUAUACUUCAGCCAUUAAAGUGCUGAGACGCGUCUGUGUGGGAUCUGCAAACACGAUGAUUUCCUCUGCACUGAUGAAGAAGGCAGGAGUUAUGACCCAGCAUCCUGAAAUAACUGCACACACCAAGGAGAAGAUGGUGGAUAAGAUGAACGUCAUGAGAAAAAGAGGAGACAUACAUGUAGAAGAUGCAGACAAAGAUGUCAACUUGGAAGGAAAGCGAGAUUCGAGAGCUUUUGGGGAUACGGGCCGAUGUCGGUGUUGAUGUCCUGUAAACAAAAACACGCUCUUUACGCAGCAGAAUUUAUACAUCAUGUCCCUCCUCCUGCGUGCUCUACUCAGGCCACACCCCUCGCCUGAAAUGUUCCUGUUGUUGUGAACGCGUCCGACCCGAAGAAUCUCCUGCUGCAUUCUUCAAAUGUCAAAGGCAAAUUCUGGAAAAUGUCUGGACCCAAUUUUCUGUACAUUUUCCCAAGUUCAUGCCUGAAAACAGCUCUAGCCAGCCAACAACCAAACUGUAGAAUUACACCAAAAGGGAAACUGGGUGAUGCAAAAACAAUACCUCACAGUUGGUGAUACAAAACCUUAUUAACACCAUGAUCAGGUCUGCAAAGAGAAGACGAGGACACAUUAACAAGCUGGAAUGAUGCUGACUAUUAACAAGUCAAAAUGGAGCAGAAGACCCUCAGAUGCACAAAAUCUGCCGUGUAACAAAGUUUGGGAAUUGCUAAUUUUGAAGGCCUGGAGGCAUUUGUCAAAGACUGAGCCCCGCUUAACUGGACACUAUGAGGCAACACCACAAGCUGAGGCAGUCGAAUGCGACACAAGUAAGCCCCCUCACAUCUAAUCUUUCACUAAUCCUCCUCCGUGCAACUAGAUGCUUCAUUGAAGAGUUUUUUAAGCUUGUUUUUACUCAUUAGAAUAUUAAUUUCUUGCUCAGACCAGUACAGAUUUAUUUAAGGAUUCAUUUUAGGUAACAAUUUCCAUUUAAUGUGGAACUUAAAAAUAUUUUAAUGCUGGAAGCUAAAUUAAGAAAAUGUUGUUGCAAUAACCCCACUGUCAUGUGCCUUCGACUUGAGGAUUAACAGUACAUUCACAAAGUAUUCAGACCCUGUCACUUUUGUUUUACAUUUCAUGUUGCAGCCUUAUGUUGAAAUAAAAAUAAAUAAUAAUAUUAAAUAAA